UAACCCGUGUCGAAAGGCGCGGCUGAACCGGCAGGAGUCAGCAGAGGGCAUAGUACCCUGGGGGACAUGAACUCUGGGGGAAGGCC
rfam:Thermacetogenium phaeum DSM 12270, complete genome.